rnacentral:tRNA from 1 species
GCCCCCGUGGCGGAAUUGGCAGACGCACCUGCUUGCCCAGCAGGCGACCGAAUGGUCGUGUGGGUUCCAAUCCCACCGGGGGCA